UACGUAGGGUGCAAGCGUUGUCCGGAAUUAUUGGGCGUAAAGAGCUUGUAGGCGGUUUGUCGCGUCUGCUGUGAAAAUCCGGGGCUCAACCCCGGACUUGCAGUGGGUACGGGCAGACUAGAGUGUGGUAGGGGAGACUGGAAUUCCUGGUGUAGCGGUGGAAUGCGCAGAUAUCAGGAGGAACACCGAUGGCGAAGGCAGGUCUCUGGGCCACUACUGACGCUGAGAGGCGAAAGCAUGGGGAGCGAACAGG
rnacentral:rRNA from 1 species